rnacentral:SRP_RNA from 1 species
GCACUAAGUGGGGAGCCAGCGGUGCCCUUUACCUGCAAUCCGCUACAGCAGGGCUGAAAGUCCUUCCCGGGGAUAGUUAUGGUUGGCAGGGCCGGUCAAGGGGCGUUGAUAUCAAGGUCUCGUGCAACGGGCGGUUGUGAACCGUGUCAGGAUAGGGAUAUAGCAGCACUAAGCAAUUUAGUCCGUGUGACUUGAGGUCGCUUUGGUGGAGCAACCUGUCCGGUUA